GUCAUGCUAGAAAGCAUUUAGGCUACUUCUGUCCUGCACCGGAAAUCCUAACUGAACCCUUACUUCAACAUAUAUUGUGAAGCACAGGUGCUCUUGAAUGAUGCAAGCCCAUUAGGAAAGACAAGAUGUAUCAGGUACUGUUGACCCUUUAGCGUUGCUGGAGAAGAUAUCAAAGAAUGGAAUAUCACAAGAUGUUUGGCGAAGAAGAACCGGUCUAUAACCGUCGGGUGGGGUUGUGCCCGAAUCGGUUUUUUUAAUAAUCGGUUAACAAACAGUUUUGGUUUUUUUUUUCAAUUUCGAUCCUAAAACCAGUUUUUUUUGCAUGUAGAAAAAUUGAAUAUCAUAAUAAUGCCAUGAAAUCUAAUUGUGUGUAGGUCAUGGAAUCUGCACAACAAGUUGGUAGAAUGUCAAUACAAUGGACCACAUAUGUCUUUCAUGAAAAUGAUCAAUGUGAUGAACCAAUAGAGGUUAGGUAUGCGCCUAUCGCACUGGUAACGGUGAGAUUGUUCAACAAAUACCCUCGCCUAUAUCUUUCGACUUGCCAAUGGUUCUAAUUAAACCUCUAGAGGCAUGCUCCACACUUGAAGUUUACA